rnacentral:rRNA from 1 species
GGUAUAGACCCGAAACCCGGUGAUCUAGCCAUGGGCAGGUUGAAGGUUGGGUAACACUAACUGGAGGACCGAACCGACUAAUGUUGAAAAAUUAGCGGAUGACUUGUGGCUGGGGGUGAAAGGCCAAUCAAACCGGGAGAUAGCUGGUUCUCCCCGAAAUCUAUUUAGGUAGAGCCUUGAGCGGACACCUUCGGGGGUAGAGCACUGUUUCGGCUAGGGGUCCAUCCCGGAUUACCAACCCGAUGCAAACUACGAAUACCGAAGAGUGAUACUCAGGAGACACACGGCGGGUGCUAACGUCCGUCGUGGAGAGGGAAACAACCCAGACCGCCAGCUAAGGUCCCAAAGUCUAUAUUAAGUGGGAAACGAAGUGGGAAGGCUUAGACAGCUAGGAUGUUGGCUUAGAAGCAGCCAUCAUUUAAAGAAAGCGUAAUAGCUCACUAGUCGAGUCGGCCUGCGCGGAAGAUGUAACGGGGCUCAAAUAUAGCACCGAAGCUGCGGCAUCAGACGAAAGUCUGUUGGGUAGGGGAGCGUUCUGUAAGCGGAUGAAGGUGAAUCGAGAGGUUUGCUGGACGUAUCAGAAGUGCGAAUGCUGACAUAAGUAACGAUAAAACGGGUGAAAAACCCGUUCGCCGGAAGACCAAGGGUUCCUGUCCAACGUUAAUCGGGGCAGGGUGAGUCGGCCCCUAAGGCGAGGCUGAAAAGCGUAGUCGAUGGGAAACGGGUUAAUAUUCCCGUACUUGGAUAAACUGCGAUGUGGGGACGGAGCAGGUUAGGUUAUCGCACUGUUGGAUAUGUGCGUUUAAGUUGGUAGGUGUGAAGUUUAGGCAAAUCCGGACUUCUAUAACACCGAGAGAUGAUGACGAGGCUCUACGGAGCUGAAGUAACCGAUACCACACUUCCAGGAAAAGCCACUAAGCUUCAGGUUUAUCUAAACCGUACUGAAAACCGACACAGGUGGUCAGGUAGAGAAUACUCAGGCGCUUGAGAGAACUCGGGUGAAGGAACUAGGCAAAAUAGCACCGUAACUUCGGGAGAAGGUGCGCCGGCGUAGAUUGUAGUCCCUUGCGGGCGAAGGUUGAACCGGUCGAAGAUACCAGCUGGCUGCAACUGUUUAUUAAAAACACAGCACUCUGCAAACACGAAAGUGGACGUAUAGGGUGUGAUGCCUGCCCGGUGCUGGAAGGUUAAUUGAUGGUGUAAUCGAAAGAGAAGCUCCUGAUCGAAGCCCCAGUAAACGGCGGCCGUAACUAUAACGGUCCUAAGGUAGCGAAAUUCCUUGUCGGGUAAGUUCCGACCUGCACGAAUGGCAUAAUGAUGGCCAGGCUGUCUCCACCCGAGACUCAGUGAAAUUGAAAUCGCCGUGAAGAUGCGGUGUACCCGCGGCUAGACGGAAAGACCCCGUGAACCUUUACUAUAGCUUGACACUGAACAUUGAAUUUUGAUGUGUAGGAUAGGUGGGAGACUAUGAAGUAGUCACGCCAGUGAUUAUGGAGUCGUCCUUGAAAUACCACCCUUUAACGUUUGAUGUUCUAACGAAGAUUACGAAACGUGGUCUCGGACAGUGUCUGGUGGGUAGUUUGACUGGGGCGGUCUCCUCCCAAAGAGUAACGGAGGAGCACGAAGGUUUGCUAAUGACGGUCGGACAUCGUCAGGUUAGUGCAAUGGUAUAAGCAAGCUUAACUGCGAGACAGACAAGUCGAGCAGGUACGAAAGUAGGUCAUAGUGAUCCGGUGGUUCUGAAUGGAAGGGCCAUCGCUCAACGGAUAAAAGGUACUCCGGGGAUAACAGGCUGAUACCGCCCAAGAGUUCAUAUCGACGGCGGUGUUUGGCACCUCGAUGUCGGCUCAUCACAUCCUGGGGCUGAAGUAGGUCCCAAGGGUAUGGCUGUUCGCCAUUUAAAGUGGUACGCGAGCUGGGUUUAGAACGUCGUGAGACAGUUCGGUCCCUAUCUGCCGUGGGCGUUGGAGAAUUGAUUGGGGCUGCUCCUAGUACGAGAGGACCGGAGUGGACGCACCACUGGUGUUCCGGUUGUGUCGCCAGACGCAUUGCCGGGUAGCUAAGUGCGGAAGAGAUAAGUGCUGAAAGCAUCUAAGCACGAAACUUGCCAAGAGAUGAGUUCUCCCUGUCUUUAAGACAGUAAGGGUUGUUUAAGACUAAGACGUAGAUAGGUCUGGUGUGUAAGCGGUGCGAGCCGUUGAGCUAACAGAUACUAAUUGCCCGAGAGGCUUAACUAU